CAGAUCUCUCUUCUCUAACCUCUUCUCCAACUAGAGCUCUGCUAGGGCACAACGAACCCUCCUCCUUUUGGCUAGCUACGUUCAUCCUGCUUCUAGUUUCCACUUUUCAACUCACUACCUUGGUUCUAGGAGCUGUUAUAUUCGUAGUUGCGGGUUUGUUGCCUUUUUGGGUACCUAAGCAAGAUGAGAGAAAUGUCCAAGAUGGGUCUGGUGGUAGCGGCGGUGCAACUUAGAGUAUUCUGCUUUGAUGGCUCUUAGGAGCAGUUUCACGGCCAUGGGGCCUUUUUGUAAUAGUUGCCUUAGUGGCAACCCCUUUUGAAAACUGUUACACUAUCAGCUUUUAGAAUCUUUUCUUUGUUCAGGGCAUGGU